UUUAAUAUGGCAGAUUAGUGCACUGAAUUUAAGCUUCAAAUAUGAAUAGUUUAUUCUUUUAAAA
rnacentral:tRNA from 1 species